CUAUUGAAUGAAUGAAUAUACUAAAGUUGAAACUUUAUAUAUAAGAUUAAUAUGGCCCUUGCUCAAGGAUGACAUGCAAAUUGAUUUAGCGGUCCAACUGUCAU